rnacentral:rRNA from 1 species
GACGAACGCUGGCGGCGUGCUUAACACAUGCAAGUCGAACGGUGAAGCGCCUUCCUUUUUGGUGGGUGUGGAUGAGUGGCGAACGGGUGAGUAACACGUGAGUAACCUGCCCCCUUCUUCUGGAUAACCGCAUGAAAGUGUGGCUAAUACGGGAUAUUCUGGGUCUGCCGCAUGAUGGGUCUGGGAAAGAUAUUGUUUCGGUGGGGGAUGGGCUCGCGGCCUAUCAGCUUGUUGGUGGGGUGAUGGCCUACCAAGGCGGUGACGGGUAGCCGGCCUGAGAGGGUGGACGGUCACACUGGGACUGAGACACGGCCCAGACUCCUACGGGAGGCAGCAGUGGGGAAUAUUGCACAAUGGGCGCAAGCCUGAUGCAGCGACGCCGCGUGAGGGAUGGAGGCCUUCGGGUGGUGAACCUCUUUCGCCAGUGAAGCAGGCCUGCCUCGUUUGUGGGUGGGUUGACGGUAGCUGGAUAAGAAGCGCCGGCUAACUACGU